GACGAACGCUGGCGGCGUGCUUAACACAUGCAAGUCGAACGGAAAGGCCCUGCUUUUGUGGGGUGCUCGAGUGGCGAACGGGUGAGUAACACGUGAGUAACCUGCCCUUGACUUUGGGAUAACUUCAGGAAACUGGGGCUAAUACAGGAUAGGAGCUCCUGCUGCAUGGUGGGGGUUGGAAAGUUUCGGCGGUUGGGGCUGGACUCGCGGCUUAUCAGCUUGUUGGUGGGGUAGUGGCUUACCAAGGCUUUGACGGGUAGCCGGCCUGGGAGGGUGACCGGCCACCUUGGGACUGCGGUACGGCCCAGACUCCUACGUGAGGCAGCAGUGGGGAAUAUUGCACAAUGGGCGGAAGCCUGAUGCAGCAACGCCGCGUGCGGGAUGACGGCCUUCGGGUUGUAAACCGCUUUCGCCUGUGACGAAGCGGGAGUGACGGUAAUGGGUAAAGAAGCACCGGCUAACUACGUG
rnacentral:rRNA from 1 species